rnacentral:rRNA from 1 species
CGAGAGGCCCAAACGUUAUUCGGAUUUACUGGGCUUAAAGAGUUCGUAGGCGGUGCGGUAAGUGGGGUGUGAAAGCCCUCGGCUCAACCGAGGAAUUGCGCUCCAAACUACCACACUCGAGGGAGAUAGAGGUGAGCAGAACUGAUGGUGGAGCGGUGAAAUGCGUUGAUAUCAUCAGGAAUACCGGAGGCGAAGGCGGCUCACUGGGUCUCUUCUGACGCUGAGGAACGAAAGCUAGGGGAGCAAACGGGAUUAGAUACCCCGGUAGUCCUAGCCGUAAACGGUGAGCACUGGACCGGAGGGCUGCACAGCCUUUCGGUCGUAGCGAAAGUGUUAAGUGCUCCGCCUGGGGAGUAUGGUCGCAAGGCUG